AUUGAACGCUGGCGGCAGGCCUAACACAUGCAAGUCGAGCGAGCGGCGGACGGGUGAGUAAUGUCUGGGGACUGCCCGAUAGAGGGGGAUAACUACUGGAAACGGUGGCUAAUACCGCAUACUAUCGGAUAACCCAUAUGGGAUUAGCUAGUAGGUGGGUUAAAGGCUCACCUAGGCGACGAUCGCUAGCUGGUCUGAGAGGAUGAUCAGCCACAAUGGGACUGAGACACGGGCCAGACUCCUAAGGAGGCAGCAGUGGGGAAUAUUGCACAAUGGGGGAAAGCCUGAUGCAGCCAUGCCGCGUGUAUGAAGAAGGCCUUAGGGUUGUAAAGGACUUUCAGCGGGGAGGCGUUACCCGCAGAAGAAGCACCGGCUAACUCCGUGCCAGCAGCCGCGGGAAUUC
rnacentral:rRNA from 1 species